GGAGAAGUUAUGACAAAAAGAGAGUGAGCACGCAAAAGCAACCAUAUACAAAACUUUUAUACAACUUCCCCUUUGUGUGCUCACUCUCUUCUGUCAACUUCUUUUCCCCCAUCAACAUAUAUUUAUCUAGUUAUGACACUAAAUAAUAUGUUAGAAAAACGAAACAGAAAAAACAAGGAUAUGUGUAUAUGUGUAGAUAGGAAAUUCCAAUUAGUCCAGAAACCGAUGAAAAAAU
rnacentral:sRNA from 1 species